rnacentral:rRNA from 1 species
AUUGAACGCUGGCGGCAUGCUUUACACAUGCAAGUCGAACGGCAGCGCGGGCUUCGGCCUGGCGGCGAGUGGCGAACGGGUGAGUAAUACAUCGGAACGUGCCCAGUAGUGGGGGAUAGCUCGGCGAAAGCCGGAUUAAUACCGCAUACGACCUGAGGGUGAAAGCGGGGGAUCUUCGGACCUCGCGCUAUUGGAGCGGCCGAUGGCAGAUUAGCUAGUUGGUGGGGUAAAGGCCUACCAAGGCGACGAUCUGUAGCUGGUCUGAGAGGACGACCAGCCACACUGGGACUGAGACACGGCCCAGACUCCUACGGGAGGCAGCAGGGGGGAAUUUUGGAAAAUGGGCGAAAGCCUGAUCCAGCAAUGCCGCGUGGGUGAUGAAGGCCUUCGGGUUGUAAAGCACUUUUGGCGGGAACGAAAAGGACUGUGCCAAUACCACGGUUCGAGGACGGUACCCGCAGAAUAAGCACCGGCUAACUACGU